AAUUUCACUCAACUCCAUUGGCCCAAUCAAGAUGUAUAACAAGUAAUCUAAAACAGCAAUUAAGUCGUGGGUUUGUACUAUGUAUUAUGGAAAAGGGAAGGGAAAGUAAGGGAAAAGUUAGAAGAUUCAAUCGUCUGGACGUUAAAAUUUUUAACUUUUUGUUUCGUUUUUCUUUUCCUCUCAAAAUUCUUAAUCCAAAUACAGAAAAACACAGAAAAAAGGGAAGGGAAGGAAAAAGUAAGAGGAUUCAAUCUUUAGACCGUUAAAUUCUUCUAAUUUUUUUAUUUUCGUAUUUUUUCUCUCCUCAAAUCCUUGAUUCAACUACAACUGUAUUUGGAUCAAGGAUUUGGGGAGGGAAUCUUGGAGGGAAGAGAAAAAAAAGAAAAUAUAUAAUUAAUCUGAACAGUUGAAUUUAUUAACGCUUCCUUUUACUUAUCUUUUUUCUUCACCAAAUUUUAAUUCAAAUACAGUCAUAUUGUUCAGUAUUUUCCUUCUCUUCAGUCAUUAGGUGUCUAUAUAAUUAGUAUUUGUAUACAUGCAGUUGACCACCUCUCUCUCUCCUCUUUAUUUCAGCAGAUGGAGGAGUUUCAGUGAGUGUCAGGUUCAUCUUAAUGCCUUUCAAACAACCAAGGCCAAAAAAAAAAAUGAAAAAACAAAAAGCAAAAAUCCUACCUGAUGUUUUUUCCAUUACCUUCCUCUCUCUUGAAGCAUGGGUUACUGUUGAGCUAUAUAUAAAAUGAAAUGUGCUUUUACAGGCUAUUAACUUUAUAAUAAAAACUUUCUAUAGUUGUUUUACAUGUCCAUUAAUUUACGGGAAAUGCUAUGGGUAUCCCAUACUUGCACUCCAAAUGCACACCUGAUGAGCUGUCGCAUUGGGGUUGGAUGAGUGUGGGGUGGAAGGACUGGGUGGACUCCACACCCAGCCAAUUCCAAUGCAACACCUCAUCAGGUGUGUAUUUGAUGUGCAAGUAUGGGGUACCCAUAGCAUUACCCUUAAUUUACAGCCUCUAUUUUCUCUCUUGCAAUUUUUUUUUUACUUUUGGGAAAGAGCAUUGUAUCUACAGUGGUCAGGGUGCCCCUACAAAAUUGUUGUAUUACCCCCCCUUAAUUUCUCUGAACUUUCAUGAAAAUUUCGGGUUUUUUCAUUGAAUAACCCUUGCAUUUUUUUUCCAUUCAGCUUGGCCCCUUACAAGUAGGCUUAUGGCUCCGCCCCUAACGUGUUCAUAAUCUCGAUUAUCGCAAACAUCCUUGAUUUAUAAUUUCACAGCAAAUAAGAUUAUCAAUUUUUACUACAAUUUAAAAUCUAAAAUUUUUAGCGGAUUUGAUUUCUACAUCUAUAGAAAACACUUGAUUAUCUCGACGUUAGUCAAGGUUAGGGGUGGUAUCACUCAGUCUCUUGCGGGGGCUAUAGUCCCCCCUCAAAAAAUUACAAAAUUUAUUUUAAAUUUUUAGGUUUUUUAUAUCUUAACCCCCUGAACUAUAUUAAAAAAAAAAAUUACACUUUAAUUUUUCCUGACCUAAAAUUCUGGAUUUGCUCCUGAUCAAGGUAUCCUCCAAAAUUGUUGUAAUAUCCUCUUAAUUUCUCUAAAUUUUUACGAAAAUUUAGGGUAUUUAGUUGAACAACCUUUGCAUUUUUUUUCCAUUCAGCUUGGUCAUUCCAAGUUCAGGCUUUCGAUUCCACCCCUGAUUGUUAUAUUUACGACAUCAAGAAAACAGUAUAGGAAAAUAAAAUCAUAUAAUUUAGCUAAUUUUGGUUUCAUUUUCGAUUGGUUUCAAAAAAGAAAAAGAAAAUGAAUAAUUAUUUAUCAAAAAAAAAAUUUGCUUGGCAGAUAAAUGAUUUCAUCUGGUUCCCUUAACCAAUAUAAUAUAUAAACACAGUGCAAGUGAUUUUCCAUCCUUCUCCUUUUAAAAAAAACACAUUCAACCUAAUUUUCAAAUAUAAUUUGGCUGCCAUGAGUUUUUAUAACACAAAUCUUGUAGAGAUUCUGUCUGAAUCCAAUUGUUCUCCUUGAAACUACGGUUGUGUUUGUUGGAUCCAGCCCAAUUGAAGGCCCAAGCUCAAGAAUAAAGUCCAGCCCAGAAGCCCAGACAUUGAAUAGUAACCAACAUUGGGCCCAGCCAACUAGCCUAAGCCCAAGCCCAAUAUAAAUAGUGAAUCAUAUUAAUGCAGUGAAUGUGGGCAGACGGAAGAGAAGAAAGGAAGAGAAGAGAAGGAGAGAGAGAAGCUCUUAUAGCUUCUGUCAAGACAGCUGCGAGAAGUCGCAGAUGGAGGCUCCUCCAUUGUCCAACAAGAGGGGUUUGUAUGGCUCAGCCAUGAGCUCAUCUGCUCUUCUUAUGGCCUAUAAAUUCAGAGACAGACAGAGAAGAGAGACGGGCAGGACAGACAUGUAAUCCUUGGGGGAUUCCCGGGAGCAUACAGGCAUGUUUGCUGUGUGCAGAGGGGGCUGCGAGAGGGGCUGUGGGAGUGCUAUGGUGCUAUUGAGAAGCACAGAGAGCACUG
rnacentral:lncRNA from 1 species